UACGUAGGUGGCAAGCGUUAUCCGGAUUUACUGGGUGUAAAGGGCGGGUAGGCGGGACUACAAGUCAGAUGUGAAAUUCCAGGGCUCAACCCUGGAACUGCAUUUGAAACUGUAGUUCUUGAGUGAUGGAGAGGCAGGCGGAAUUCCGAGUGUAGCGGUGAAAUGCGUAGAUAUUCGGAGGAACACCAGUGGCGAAGGCGGCCUGCUGGACAUUAACUGACGCUGAGGCGCGAAAGCGUGGGGAG
rnacentral:rRNA from 1 species